AGAGCGAACGCUGGCGGCAGGCCUAACACAUGCAAGUCGAACGGAUCCUUCGGGAUUAGUGGCGGACGGGUGAGGAACACGUGGGAACGUGCCUUUUGGUUCGGAACAACUCAGGGAAACUUGAGCUAAUACCGGAUAAGCCCUUCGGGGGAAAGAUUUAUCGCCAUUAGAGCGGCCCGCGUCUGAUUAGCUUGUUGGUGAGGUAAAGGCUCACCAAGGCUACGAUCAGUAGCUGGUCUGAGAGGAUGAUCAGCCACACUGGGACUGAGACACGGCCCAGACUCCUACGGGAGGCAGCAGUGGGGAAUCUUGCGCAAUGGGCGAAAGCCUGACGCAGCCAUGCCGCGUGAAUGAUGAAGGUCUUAGGAUUGUAAAAUCCUUUCAGCGGGGACGAUAAUGACGGUACCCGCAGAAGAAGCCCCGGCUAACUCGUGCCAGCAGCCGC
rnacentral:rRNA from 1 species